rnacentral:sRNA from 1 species
UGUGAAUAGCUCCACUAUACCAGCCUUGUCUUCCUUCUGGGGGACAACGUGUGGGUCAGGGCACAGAGAGAUAUUUAAUGUCACCGUCUCGGGGCUUUGAUGGGACUCCCUCUGCCACAUUUUUUGGAGGUUAUGAAAGUUGCUAGAGGCUUCAGAACUCCAGCCUAAUGGAUCCCAAACUCGGGAGAAUGGCUGCGUCCCUGCUGGCCGUGCUGCUGCUGCUGGAGGGCGGCAUGUUCUCCUCACCCUCCCCUCCCCCAGUGCUGUUAGAGAAAGUCUUCCAGUACAUUGACCUCCAUCAGGAUGACUUUGUGCAGAUGCUGAAGGAGUGGGUGGCCAUCGAGAGCGACUCUGUGCAGCCUGUGCCUCGCUUCAGACAAGAGCUCUUCAGAAUGAUGGCCAUGGCUGCGGACACGCUGCAGCGCCUGGGGGCCCGUGUGGCCUCGGUGGACAUGGGUCCUCAGCAGGGAAACUUUAUGGACGAGGAGCGACCGACAACAAAGGCCCUGUCUUGGCUUGGAUCAAUGCUGUGAGCGCCUUCAGAGCCCUGGAGCAAGAUCUUCCUGUGAAUAUCAAAUUCAUCAUUGAGGGGAUGGAAGAGGCUGGCUCUGUUGCCCUGGAGGAACUUGUGGAAAAAGAAAAGGA